AGGUAAAUCUUAUGCAAUAUGUCAAACAAAAUGCGAGUCGAGAUUUCCACAUCAGUUCAAAAAAGCUGUGCAAGGCACUUGAUCAGCAGCAUAAGGAUGGAGAUAAUGACACAAGCGUAACAACAGCUGAUGACAGUAGAAGAGAUGGAGACGAUGGCAUUCCAAUGUCUGCUGCUGAGGAAAGACAUCCCCCAUCAAAAAAACAACGCACUAAAUAAAACAGUGGGGUUUUAUGUGCUAUUACAUUUCAGUUAAUUUUUCUAUAUUGUAUUUCUUUUAUCAAGUUAGAUAAGUUGUUAAGUUGUUCUUCACUGCACUGUAUUGUAAAUAAAUUUGUACAAACAA